rnacentral:rRNA from 1 species
UACGUAGGUUGCGAGCGUUAUUCGGAUUUACUGGGCGUAAAGAGCACCGAGGUGGCUUCUUAAGUUGGAUGUGAAAUCUCCUGGCUUAACCGGGAGGCGCCAUUCAAAACUGGGGAGCUUGAGGUCAGCAGGGGAAGGUGGAAUUCCCGGUGUAGUGGUGGAAUGCGUAGAGAUCGGGAGGAACACCAGUGGCGAAGGCAGCACUCUGGGACGUGACUGACGCUGAGACGCGAAAGCGUGGGGAGCAAACAGG